GUGGUUUCGUGAAAUUGAUUUUACUGACUGAUACCUGCUGGGUGCUGUAUUUGUAUUUUUAACCCAUGUGUUGUGAACUUUUGGACAUGUACCCAAACAUUGCUGAUUUGAGCAGUUAUUUUGUGCAGCUACUCUCACAUGUAAGAUGGAUACAGCUAUCAGCUGAGUCCAACAUGAAGCUCAUCCCACCACCUUCCUUUGCUCAUGAAGGAAUUUGGUUCCCCCUGGAGUCAUUUUUGGUAUAUUUUGAAAUAUGUCACAGGUCCCUUUGUUUUUAGGGUUUUGGUUGAAAAUGGUCUGUUGGGAACCAUCUGUGAGAAAAACAGUACCAUGACAUGAUUCACUCUACCAGAAAUUUGGAAACGACAUGC